GAUGAACGCUGGCGGCGUGCCUAAUACAUGCAAGUCGAGCGAACAGAUGAGGAGCUUGCUCCUCUGACGUUAGCGGCGGACGGGUGAGUAACACGUGGAUAACCUACCUAUAAGACUGGGAUAACUUCGGGAAACCGGAUCUAAUACCGGAUAAUAUAUUGAACCGCAUGGUUCAAUAGUGAAAGACGGUUUUGCUGUCACUUAUAGAUGGAUCCGCGCCGCAUUAGCUAGUUGGUAAGGUAACGGCUUACCAAGGCAACGAUGCGUAGCCGACCUGAGAGGGUGAUCGGCCACACUGGAACUGAGACACGGUCCAGACUCCUACGGGAGGCAGCAGUAGGGAAUCUUCCGCAAUGGGCGAAAGCCUGACGGAGCAACGCCGCGUGAGUGAUGAAGGUCUUCGGAUCGUAAAACUCUGUUAUUAGGGAAGAAAAAAUGUGUAAGUAACUAUGCACGUCUUGACGGUACCUAAUCAGAAAGCCACGGCUAACUUCGUG
rnacentral:rRNA from 1 species